rnacentral:rRNA from 1 species
GACAGAGGGUGCAAACGUUGCUCGGAAUCAUUGGGCGUAAAGCGCACGUAGGCGGUUCGUUAUGUCGGAUGUGAAAGCCCUUGGCUUAACCGAGGAAGUGCAUCCGAAACUGGCGAGCUAGAGUACGAAAGAGGAUCGCGGAAUUCCCGGUGUAGAGGUGAAAUUCGUAGAUAUCGGGAGGAACACCGGUGGCGAAGGCGGCUCUCUGGACCGACACUGGCGCUGAGGCGCGAAAGCGUGGGGAGCAAACAGG